rnacentral:rRNA from 1 species
UACGUAGGUGACCAGCGUUGUCCGGAAUUAUUGGGCGUAAAGAGCUCGUAGGCGGUUUGUCGCGUCUGCUGUGAAAAUCCGGGGCGUCAACCCCGGACCUUGCAGUGGGUACGGGCAGGACUAGAGUGUGGUAGGGGAGACGUGGAAGUUCCUGGUGUAGCGGUGAAAUGCGCAGAUAAUCAGGAGGAACACCGAUGGCGAAGGCAGGUCUCUGGGC